GUAUUUAGAUUUUCUCCUUCUCCUUCUCCUCUAAUUUUAUUUAUGUAUUUAUUGAUUUUGUUUUAAGUAAUGAAAAAUCUGACAUAACACAAAGAAAUCUUUUUGGUGAACUAGCUUUUUUCAGGACGAAAUUAUCUCGUUUUGUCUCCCGCUUAUGAAGCGCUGCUGCAAAAAUGGAUCCUUCUGAGGGAUUAUUGAAGGGCACGAAUGGCGGGGUCGAUCAGCCGCCAAAAGAGAGUGGCAACCAGGUGGUUGGUAGAAAAGCAGCCUGGAACCGCAAGGGUUUGGGAGAAAAGAAAGCAGCCGUUGAUGAAGAGAUUUCGAGGAUGAACAAACUUCCGCCAAACAGCACUUACGCCACUCAUCGCUUGCGUGUCUUGAAUAAAAUCCUUCACCUGUUAUCUAUGCAGAGAACCACAUCGCAGGAGGAGGAAUUGGGAUUGCUGUUUGCUGGUCUCUCUCUUUGAAGAGGCUCUCUAAAGUUUUUCAAUGUUGACGCACUGAACACGGAAAUUGCAAGAUGCCAAGGGGCAGCUGAACCUUGCAUGACAUAUGUGAAAAAAUGGAGUCGCAGUUUGAGUUGCUGAGAAGGACGAUACCAGAUGCAUGUAGAUAUCUUGUUCUUUCUCAUUGCCAGGCUUGUGAAGUCACUGUAUUUACACUGGCUGUAUCUCUGUAACUAGAUACGGUGUCAUAUUUGAGUUGCUGAAUUGAACGUUGUCGUUUUAGAAGAGUUUAUUGGAUGCAGCUAAGUAUCUUGUUCGGUUCUCAUUUUGGAAGGCUUAUGGAUUCACCGUAGGUAGACUGGCUAUUGCCGACGUAUGGAUUCUGGGAAUGGGAACUUAAAACUAGAAUGAGGCGGACACAGCCAAAGAAGAAGAACAAAAACGGUUGCCCGAAUCAACUCCAAUGAAGCAAAGCUGCUCCACAUACAAAAAGGAUUUGCUUUUCUUUCCCUCUCGCAGCUGCACUUUCAGGCAUCGUAUGCCCCCAGCAAAGCCACAUUCCAAAAACAAAAAAUUCAAGAAAAUAGACAAAUGAAGAGGGAUGUUAGGAUUUUAAUAAACACUUUACACAGUUCUUCUCCGAGACGGAAGUGUAACUGCAGAAUGAAUGGGCAUCUUGGUGUAUUUGCCACAGAACUCAGGGCAAAAAGCAAAUUUGUACAUGGCCGCCUCGAAGU